UGUGAUGCCUAACUUUAAGCUUCAAUAAACCCCAUAAAUACUCUAUGAGGUUUAGGUCCGGAGAUUGGGCAGGCCAGUCCAGGAGCUCUAUAUUGUUUUCUCAAAACCAAGUCAUUGUGCGGAUAACCUAAGACAUUUUUAGGGUGUUCAAUAUUUUUGGCCAAGACUGUAUAUAAAAUAAAUAAGUCUAAUAAUAUCUAUCUCCUUAUACCUAUCUCGUUUUUUACAAGUAAAUGUUUCCCAUACACGAGCUUCCUGUACAGUUUUUCCUUUCUUCGCUAUCAUCCUGAUUAUUGCUUUAUUCCACGUGUCUCUCAGUCUUCCCCUCCUGCGUUCUCUGUAGAUAUCCCCACCAACUUAGCAGCCUCUUUUCGAUAAAAUCGCUCACGGCCUCGAUAUUUAAAUCUUUCCUUAUGUCAUAUUGUCUCUCUUUACACGUAUUACAAUAAGUAUGUUGUUGUAUUAUAAUAAUAUAAUAUCGAUAAUAAGAAAUUAAAUUGAAAUAAACCAAAUAAAUUAUAUAUAUAUAACCAACAUUGCGUUUACAUCCUCCACAAUUUUUAAGAUCGGAUCGUGUCGGGAGGACAGAUGAAUCGCAAAACUUCGCAAUGGGCUAUUUUUAAGGUCGAAUGGGAAAAACGCUCGAACAUAGCGUAGCCGGUCCCAUCCUUUCAGUGCCAAAGUAUUCGGCGUGAUCAAAAAACCAAUACUAGUUAGUAUCGUUUCGCUCAAUCAACGUAACUCAUUUGAUUUUUUAAUUAAGGUUAACUCGGUUUGAAUUAGAAGUGAAAUCAUCGUUUGAGUCAUCUUUAACCCAAACAAUAAAGUGAUAAGAACGAUUUCAGGAAUAGGAAGAAAAAGGCUUCAAAAUUAAUCUUAAACUCGCAAAACGCCGUAAAAGGCGUAACAACAAUCAUCAAAGUAA